UGGUGGGGUAACGGCCCACCAAGCCUAAGAUCCGUACGGGCCAUGGGAGUGGGAGCCCGGAGAUGGACCCUGAGACAAGGGUCCAGGCCCUACGGGGCGCAGCAGGCGCGAAACCUCCGCAAUGCGGGAAACCGCGACGGGGUCAGCCGGAGUGCCGAUGCUUGCAUCGGCUGUCGGGGAGCCUAAAAAGCUCCCCAUAGCAAGGGCCGGGCAAGGCCGGUGGCAGCCGCCGCGGUAAUACCGGCGGCCCGAGUGGCGGCCACUAUUAUUGGGCUUAAAGCGUCCGUAGCCGGGUUGGUUAGUCUCCCGGGAAAUCUGGCCGCUUAACGGUCAGAAUUCCGGGAGAUACUGCCAGCCUAGGGACCGGGAGAGGCCGAGGGUAUUCCCGGAGUAGGGGUGAAAUCCUAUAAUCCCGGGAGGACCACCUGUGGCGAAGGCGCUCGGCUGGAACGGGUCCGACGGUGAGGGACGAAGGCCAGGGGAGCAAACCGGAUUAGAU
rnacentral:rRNA from 1 species